GACGAAGGAUGCAAGCGUUAUCCGGAUUCAUUGGGUUUUAAAAGGGAGCGUAGGUGGCCUUAUAAGUCAGUGGUGAAAUCUCUGGGCUUAACCCAGAAAAUUGCCAUUGAUACUGUAGGGCUUGAGUAUAGUUGCCGUUGGCGGAAUAUGACAUGUAGUGGUGAAAAUACAUAGAGAUGUCAUAGAACACCGAUUGCGAAGGCAGCUAACGAAAACUAUAACUGACACUGAGGCUCGAAAGUGCGGGGAUCAAAACAGGG
rnacentral:rRNA from 1 species